rfam:Prevotellaceae bacterium HTN156 genome assembly, contig: IE21DRAFT_scaffold00003.3
AGCUGUGCCGGUUCGAUCGGGAUACUCAUCAAAUUACAUUGAAAACCGAGCCCACUUCUCUUGCCAAUGGCGGGCCACAAUCCUGCGAAAGCAGUAAGCCGAGAGGCCGGUGGAUUACAAAGACGGAGAGUACUCAAAUCUUUUAACAAAGGAGUUUUCAUCACAUCACCGCGCGGCACCCUUU